rnacentral:rRNA from 1 species
GUAACGGCGAGUGAAGCGGCAACAGCUCAAAUUUGAAAUCUGGCUCUCGGGCCCGAGUUGUAAUUUGUAGAGGAUGCUUUUGGUGAGGUGCCUUCCGAGUUCCCUGGAACGGGACGCCAUAGAGGGUGAGAGCCCCGUCUGGUUGGACGCCGAUCCUCUGUAAAGCUCCUUCGACGAGUCGAGUAGUUUGGGAAUGCUGCUCUAAAUGGGAGGUAUAUGUCUUCUAAAGCUAAAUACCGGCCAGAGACCGAUAGCGCACAAGUAGAGUGAUCGAAAGAUGAAAAGAACUUUGAAAAGAGAGUUAAAAAGUACGUGAAAUUGUUGAAAGGGAAGCGCUUGUGACCAGACUUGGGCUUGGUUGAUCAUCCGGGGUUCUCCCCGGUGCACUCUUCCGGCUCAGGCCAGCAUCAGUUCGCCUCGGGGGAUAAAGGCUUCGGGAAUGUGGCUCUCUCCGGGGAGUGUUAUAGCCCGCUGCGUAAUACCCUGUGGCGGACUGAGGUUCGCGCAUUCGCAAGGAUGCUGGCGUAAUGGUCAUCAGUGACCCGUCUUGAAACACGGACCAAGGAGUCGUCUUCGUAUGCGAGUGUUCGGGUGUCAAACCCCUACGCGAAAUGAAAGUGAACGCAGGUGAGAGCUUCGGCGCAUCAUCGACCGAUCCUGAUGUUAUCGGAUGGAUUUGAGUAAGAGCAUACGGGGCCGGACCCGAAAGAAGGUGAACUAUGCCUGUGUAGGGUGAAGCCAGAGGAAACUCUGGUGGAGGCUCGCAGCGGUUCUGACGUGCAAAUCGAUCGUCAAACAUGGGCAUGGGGGCGAAAGACUAAUCGAACCUUCUAGUAGCUGGUUUCCGCCGAAGUUUCCCUCAGGAUAGCAGUGUUGAACUCAGUUUUAUGAGGUAAAGCGAAUGAUUAGGGACUCGGGGGCGCUAUUUAGCCUUCAUCCAUUCUCAAACUUUAAAUAUGUAAGAAGCCCUUGUUGCUUAAUUGAACG